CACUCGUCUCUAAUCUCCGAUCACCUCCACCAGUAACCAUGAUGAUCCUGAGCACCACCGCUCUCGCUGGACUCCUCCUCUCUCUCUCGGGGUUUGAGGCCAUAGUGCAUCUGACCCAGGAGAAGAUCAUGAACGUGAACAUAGGACAAGAUGUAAAGAUUCUCUGCAGGAGAGAUGAUAGUGGUAGCUGGGCCAUUUCAUGGUACCAGCAGAAAGCUGGAGAUACUCCAAAGUUCUUACUAGCUGAUAGCACCAGAGCCAGUGGUCUGUCCAGCAGAUUCACAUACACAGACAGUGGUGUGGAUGAGUACCUGAACAUCGGCCGAGUGGAAGCUGAGGACGAAGCGGUGUAUUACUGCGGCUGCAUCAUUUGUCAAAGCCAUGGCAGCAUCGGAGGAGGCACCGAGUUGAGGAUCGCUCGUCCGUCGUCUCCUCCGUCUCUGCUCCUGCUGGCUCCUCCUGCUUCUCCGCUCUCUGAGGGUGAUGUCAGUGUGGUGUGUGUGGCUCGGGGCUUUUACCCUGACGGUGUCACCAUGUCCUGGUCUGAGGACAGCAGCGGCGUGACGGGGGACGAGGUGCAGACGGCUCCGUAUCAGCGUCAGGCCGACGGCACCUUCUCCCAGACCAGCGUUCUGAAGCUCAGUAAGCAGCGCUGGAGCUCCGGGAGAACCUACACGUGCCGUCUGAGUCACCCGGCGCUUUCCACACCGCUGAGCCAGAGCACCAGCCUGAACCAGUGCAUGUAGAGAGAUCACACAGUGCUGCUUCACCUCUCAUGUGUUGCAUAAAGAGAGAAAUAUAUAUAAUGCACCUCAGUGAACAAAACUUGUCUUUAAUAAUGAGUGUGUUGUCCAUUUAAACAAGUUCUUCUGUUAUUGUGAAAUGAGUCUUGUGGAG